AUUGAACGCUGGCGGCAUGCCUUACACAUGCAAGUCGAACGGCAGCACGGGAGCAAUCCUGGUGGCGAGUGGCGAACGGGUGAGUAAUAUAUCGGAACGUGCCCGGUCGUGGGGAUAACGUAGCGAAAGCUACGCUAAUACCGCAUACGAUCUACGGAUGAAAGCGGGGGGAUCGCAAGACCUCGCGCGAUUGGAGCGGCCGAUAUCAGAUUAGGCAGUUGGUGAGGUAAAGGCUCACCAAGCCGACGAUCUGUAGCUGGUCUGAGAGGACGACCAGCCACACUGGGACUGAGACACGGUCCAGACUCCUACGGGAGGCAGCAGUGGGGAAUUUUGGACAAUGGACGCAAGUCUGAUCCAGCCAUUCCGCGUGCAGGAUGAAGGCCCUCGGGUUGUAAACUGCUUUGUACGGAACGAAAGGGUUUCUAUUAAUACUUAGGAGCUCAUGACGGUACCGUAA
rnacentral:rRNA from 1 species